UACGAAUGGGGCUAGCGUUGCUCGGAAUCACUGGGCGUAAAGGGUGCGUAGGCGGGUCUUUAAGUCAGGGGUGAAAUCCUGGAGCUUAACUCCGAAACUGCAUUCGAUACUGCCGUGCUUGAGGACUGGAGAGGAGACUGGAAUUUACGGUGUAGCGGUGAAAUGCGUAGAUAUCGUAAGGAAGACCAGUGGCGAAGGCGGGUCUCUGGACAGUUCCUGACGCUGAGGCACGAAGGCCAGGGGAGCAAACGGG
rnacentral:rRNA from 1 species